UACGUAGGGGGCGAGCGUUAUCCGGAUUCACUGGGUGUAAAGGGAGCGUAGACGGCCGAUCAAGUCUGGAGUGAAAGCCCGGGGCCCAACCCCGGGACUGCUCUGGAAACUGGUGGGCUAGAGUGCUGGAGAGGUAAGUGGAAUUCCUAGUGUAGCGGUGAAAUGCGUAGAUAUUAGGAGGAACACCAGUGGCGAAGGCGGCUUACUGGACAGUGACUGACGUUGAGGCUCGAAAGCGUGGGGAGCAAACAGG
rnacentral:rRNA from 1 species